CGGUAAUACGGAGGGUGCGAGCGUUAAUCGGAAUUACUGGGCGUAAAGCGCAUGCAGGUGGUUUGUUAAGUUCAGAUGUGAAAGACCCGGGGCGUUAACCUCGGAAUAGCAUUUGUAAACUAGGCAGACUAGAGUACUGUAGAGGGGGGUAGGAAUUUCAGGUGUAGCGGUGAAAUGCGUAGAGAUCUGAAGGAAUACCGGUGGCGAAGGCGGCCCCCUCGGACAGAUACUGACACUCAGAUGCGAAAGCGUGGGGAGCAAACAGGAUUAGAUACCCUGGUAG
rnacentral:rRNA from 1 species